UAUAUCACGCUUUUCCUCAUAUAAUUCCACAAGUUUAGAAGGUAAGCGUUGAAUUAUUAUUCGCCAACCCUUCCAAAAUUUAACAAUUAUGUCUAUAACAUUACCAGAUUAUAUAUAUAUAUAUAUAAAAUUGAUUUUUAUAACUGCGUUUCCGGUCGAGCUGCAUUUCUUUAUUUUUGUUUUUGCAUGCUUCACCUGAUCAGGUGUGUGGCUCCAUGGAUAACCUUUUUUUACUGAAAGUAUCUCCAUGGAAUUUGACAAAUUGUACGGAAUCAUAUGCAAAUCCUGGCAUUACAAGUUGCAAAAGCAAGUGUGCGGUCCUCCUUCUGUCGAUCCUUGGUAAUUGGAUUCGAGCUCAAGUGCUAUAGAAAAUUAAGACGGAGUAAGAGGACAAAAUAUAUACAAACAAACAAACGAAACCAUAUUUUAACUCGGCCAUAUUUCAGAGAGUUGUAAAUGAUCGAUGAAAAAGGUCUGCUAUCAAUUCAAGAGGUUUUUUUUUACACACACACACACACACACACACACACAUAUAUAUAUAUAUAUAUAUAUUUUUUUUUUUCUGUAAGAAGAAUACAAAUUAAUCUAGCAAAUGAUGUUAAGAAAUAAUAAAUAAAAAAUCUUAAGAUUGUAACAAUACAUUAGAAUUUGGUUCGCAUGCAUGAUUUGUAGAAGUCAAAUCCUAGGUUUGUAAAACGAAUCAUUCUUCAAACGUACUUAAACAAAAGAUGUCUGAACGAGAAAGUAGUUAUAAAAUGUCUUCACUGCACAUAUAUCAAUUUCACAUGCAUGGAACAAAUAGUUUUAUCAAAGUAUUUGAACAGUACAGACAAAGUGUGAGCACUGACGAUAAGAUUCUUAAUUAUCUUCCCCCUCCUAUCAUUCUUGUAUUAUAAAUAAACUAAUGUAUGUAUGAUUCAACAUUUAUGUUCAAAUUUAUUAGUGAGUAACUAAAUAAAUCAAAUAGAAGCAUAUUCAAGUUUGGAUCGUACAUAAGUUAGUGGUUGUCCACACUCCAAUAGGUGGUACCUAUCAGCCGUUAAUGUUUGUGAUAUGAAUUAAUGAGAAACAAACUAAUCAACGGUGACAAACAUCCAAACUGACACAUGCUCGUACACGUAUAGUGUUAUUAGAUUCUAAACUUAUCUCUUUAGAUCCCAACUUUAUAUUUUUUUUUUGUUCUUUAAUAAUAAUUAGAUUAAUUUACAGACAACUUGUGUCUUCAUAUUCAUGAAAAUCUAAAUAAGUAACAUAUUAAACUCGAUUAAAAACAUAAUUCAAUUUGAAUCGAUGAUAAGCUAGACAAAUCAAACUCUAUCAUAUAUAUAAUCUAACACAUCAAUGUCAGCAACAAUAAGCACUUAGUUAAAAUCAAAUAAACAAAAUUACUUAUAUAUGCAUCAUUUAUUAAGAAUAGUUAGAAAAUAUUUAUGUUUAAAAUUAGUUGAUUACCAACGCUAGCCUUUGCUUGAACUAUUAUUCAAAAGAAGGGAAAAAAAAGUUAAACAAAAGAAACCCAAACAUAUACAUAUAUAACCUAAUUAAGUACUGUGCAAACUUUCUUUAAGUUGGUACAUAUAUAAUAAACAUAGAGAACAAAAUAAACUUGUGCUUGCAUCUCUAUUUCAAAUCUUCCUUCACACGCUAAAUGGUUGUCAAUCGUUCACCUACAUAAAAUUUUCAUACAUGAUUAACAGACACACACAACAAUAUAAGCGUACAUGUCAUUACCAAUGAAAACAUAAGAAAAAUACUAAUGUUCUUUAUUUGGGUCUCUUAAUUUUCUUUUAAUUUCGCAAUUCAUAUAUAUAUAUAAAAAAGCAUAAGUGCCUUAAUUUUAUAAGAGAAGAACAGCUGGGCAUAUAGACUAUAGCUAAUAGCUAGUAGGCCGACCACUGAGACCUGAGCAAGCCAAAACCCCUCCCAAAAAGAAUGAAAGCGCCCUUGGUUUCCAAACACAACGUGUCAAUCAUCUAUACGUCACCCUCUCCCAUCAUUUGUGCACUCAUACAAACAACGAAUCCGGGGACUCUCUGAGAGUCCGAGGUUUCCCAAUUCCCCACGCUUUUCAUUUACACUCGCCAACACUCGCUCUCUUCCUCUUACGCGUGCCCAUCCUGAUCUGCCUUUUGUAACGUGAGCACCUCCUCCGAUUCACUCCCGCUGGUCAACAGGCCUUUGUUUGAUUCACUUGACAAAAUAUGGGCCCCAAGAAGCGAGUAGAAUUGUCUUUCUCUACUCUAGCGAGUGGGGAUG
rnacentral:lncRNA from 1 species